rnacentral:rRNA from 1 species
UACGUAGGGGGCUAGCGUUGUCCGGAUUUAUUGGGCGUAAAGAGCGUGUAUGGCGGCCAGGUAGGUCUGCUGUUGAAAACCCGAGGCUCAACCUCGGGCCUGCAGUGGGUACGGGCAGACGUAGAGUGCGGUAGGGGAGAUUUGGAAUUCCGUGGUGUAGCGGUGGAAUGCGCAGAUAAUCGGGAGGAAUCACCAGUAGCGAAGGCGGCAACUCUGGGCCGGUACUGACGCUGAGGAGCGAAAGCGUGGGAGCGAACAGGAUAGAAACCCCUGUA